GACGAACGCUGGCGGCGUGCCUAAUACAUGCAAGUAGAACGCACAGUUUAUACCGUAGCUUGCUACACCAUAGACUGUGAGUUGCGAACGGGUGAGUAACGCGUAGGUAACCUGCCUGGUAGCGGGGGAUAACUAUUGGAAACGAUAGCUAAUACCGCAUAAUAUUGAUUAUUGCAUGAUAAUUAAUUGAAAGGUGUAAUUGCACCACUACCAGAUGGACCUGCGUUGUAUUAGCUAGUAGGUGAGGUAACGGCUCACCUAGGCGACGAUACAUAGCCGACCUGAGAGGGUGAUCGGCCACACUGGGACUGAGACACGGCCCAGACUCCUACGGGAGGCAGCAGUAGGGAAUCUUCGGCAAUGGACGAAAGUCUGACCGAGCAACGCCGCGUGAGUGAAGAAGGUUUUCGGAUCGUAAAGCUCUGUUGUAAGAGAAGAACGGGUGUGAGAGUGGAAAGUUCAAACUGUGACGGUAUCUUACCAGAAAGGGACGGCUAACUACGUG
rnacentral:rRNA from 1 species